UUGGUCUGCUACAAUUCGAAGUUAUGAAUCUAAAGAGGCAGUAUCUGAUAAACACAAACUAUUCAGUUACAAAAGGACUUUGUUCGCCGAAAAUUUAGAAUGGUAUGUCCUAGUUCGCUCGGAUUUUUGCUGCAGAGUUUGAGCCGCCUGGGGGCGUUCAGAGUCUGAGGGACUCCUGGGCCGAGAGUCGUGACUGAAAGUCGGGUAUCUCCUGGCUUGUUUUGACUGCCUGAACCAAAAGGAAACAAGGUGAAACCAAAAGAAAAAGGAAAAAAAAAAAAAAUAAUAAUAAUAAUGCGAUAAAACGUAAUCACGUAAACCGCACCCCGAGAAUGAGGCUGGACAGCGGAGCAAACGAACAGCUAAUUUAAUUUUAAAACAGAAUCUACUUGCCUUGGUCGCAAGCUAGUAAUCGACCAAGUUGAAAUUUGAAGGCUGGGCACCCCACGCAAUUGUGGAUUUAAGCUUACUUCCUUCAGGAUGAAGGAUGCCUGGAAAUGAGAGGUGCCUGAGAGAUGGGAGACCAAUUAGGUGGCCAAUGUGAUAAUUCUACUCAGAG